rnacentral:rRNA from 1 species
GACGAACGCUGGCGGCGUGCUUAACACAUGCAAGUCGAACGGAAAGGCCCUGCUUUUGUGGGGUGCUCGAGUGGCGAACGGGUGAGUAACACGUGAGUAACCUGCCCUUGACUUUGGGAUAACUUCAGGAAACUGGGGCUAAUACCGGAUAGGAGCUCCUGCUGCAUGGUGGGGGUUGGAAAGUUUCGGCGGUUGGGGAUGGACUCGCGGCUUAUCAGCUUGUUGGUGGGGUAGUGGCUUACCCAGGCUUUGACGGGUAGCCGGCCUGAGAGGGUGACCGGCCACAUUGGGACUGAGAGACGGCCCAGACUCCUACGGGAGGCAGCAGUGGGGAAUAUUGCACAAUGGGCGGAAGCCUGAUGCAGCAACGCCGCGUGCGGGAUGACCGCCUUCGGGUUGUAAACCGCUUUCGCCUGUGACGAAGCGUGAGUGACGGUAAUGGGUAAAGAAGCACCGGCUAACUACGUG